UGACUCAGCAGGGGAGAGACUGUGAAGUGCUCCUGAAUACAGGCCGGUAGAGGUGAAGCGGCAGAGUCCAAGCCAGGCUUCUGUUCCCUUCAGUGGAUCCCCCCAGGAAUCACUGCCGAACUACUGGUUAGUGGAAGUCCUCGCUUUCUGCCCCACAGAGAGCCUUCCUGGAAGGCAGCAUGUCCACCAAUUUUCCCUUGAGAAAAAAGUCUUCCACAGGAAAUGCUUCUUAUGCUUCUGUGGUAGACAUGAAAAGCCCCACUCAAGGAGCUACACUGACCCAACAAGCUUCUCAUGAACUGAACAAAAGAAAGACUUUUUUACAGGAUAACAGCUGGAUCAAGAAACGUCUUGAAGAAGAAAAAGAUGAAAAUUAUGGGAAGGUAGUGCUCAACAGGCAUAACUCCCAUGAUGCCCUGCACAGGAAAAUAAAUGAGAAAGAUGAAACAAAAGCCACAAUUAGUAGAUACUCAUCCGAUGACACUUUGGACAGGAUCUCAGAGAGAAAUGAGGCUGCCAAAACAUCUAAAGCCAACACCCUGGAUUACCGACUAACCAAUAGGAACCUGUCCACAUUUAGAUCGUCAGCUGCAACCAAGUCGCAACCUGGCAGUUUGAGUGCAAGCACCUCCCACUCCACAGGUUCCGUCCCCGCUGCCAGUCCUGUGAAGAAAAAGAGACAGUCUUGGUUUCCACCACCCCCUCCGGGUAGCAGCACCAGCCUGAACACAGAAGCCAGCAGAAGGAACCCAGCUGUUCACCCUCCAAUACCACCAAAGCCCAAUUCUCCUAUUUCUUCUCCUAAGCAGCUGAGACAGAAGAACAGGCUGAUAUCUCCAUCUAAACUUGGUAUGGCUACAGAAACCAGCAGAUCUACUGAAAGAAAUAUAAGGACUCGGGAUCUUGAUGACAUCACCAAGGUGACAAUGUCACUUCAGGAAACUGACAAGGGGAAUCAAGGUCUUGAUGGUCUCUUCAGAAAAAAUUGGAAGGCAGAACAAAUAGAGAAAAGAGCCAAAAGUCUUGAAAGUCUCAUCCAUGUGGAUACCCAGAUGGACAAAGAUGACAAAGGAAACCAAAGCCUUGGAAGUUUUAAUAAAGUUAAUCAAAGGACUGACAAAAAUGAGAAAGGAAGCCGAGACCUCGAAUCUAUCACCAAAGUGGAUUCCAGGACACAUAAAACCAGAAGAGGAAGACAAGAUUUUGAUGGGCAUCUUAAAGUGAAUCUUGAAACAAAUAAAAACAUCAAAAGCAGUCGAAGCCUUGGCAAUCUGAUCGAAAUGAGCCCUGGAGGAAACAAGAAUAGGCACGGGAACCAAGACUUGGAUAAUCUUAUCAACAUGAACUUCUCAGCAAACAAAAGAAAUCAAUAUCUGGAUGACCUCAUCAAAGUGAAUUCCUCAGUAACCAGAAAUAAUCAAAGCCUAGAUUUGGACAAUCUUAUUCAAGUGAACCCUUCAGCUCUCAGAAAUGUUAAUCGCUCCAAUACUGGAACCAGACACGUAAGACCGAAGGACACUGUUAUGUAUACAAGGACGUACGUAGAGAAUAGUGAAGUACCAAGAGAUGAGUAUCAGGAGACUAGCUCUGGAAAGUAUAUACAAACUGUGUAUUCAACUUCAGACAGGUCUGUCAUUGAAAAUGACAUGUGCACUUACUGUCGAAAACCCUUGGGUGUGGAAACUAAAAUGAUUCUUGAUGAAUUACAAAUUUGCUGUCAUUCCACAUGCUUUAAGUGUGAAAUAUGCAAACGGCCUUUGGAAAACCUGAAAGCAGGUGACAGUAUUUGGAUUUAUAGACAAACAAUACACUGUGAACCUUGUUACUCUAAAGUUAUGGCAAAGUGGAUUCAAUAAAGCUGGCACAUGGAAAUCAAGAUGAACAGCAUUCACUAAAGAAUUAAAAGUUGCAAGUUUUAAAAACAUGUAAUCUACAAGAGUUUUUAUGCUGAAGAUCAACACUUGUAUAAAAUUAUAAUAAUUCUGAUAUUGCAUAAGUAAUAAAGUUACUUUCAAUAAGAUUAUAUAAAUGAAAAGAGCCAUCUGGUAUCUGGCUAUAUUAGUGAUAAGAAACUCGCAUGGUCUAAUUAUGAGUAUCAAAGGAAUAAUGCAUUUGAUGGUGGCAAACAUUAUCAGGCUUAGGCAGAUCUAUGCCUGGCUGUACAUCGUGAUUCCCAUUAGAGCAAAGUUGUUUAUUUUUGUCACCGUUAUUCUUCUAAGAAUUUGGGUUCUCAGGCAUUAUUGACACCCUAACAAAGGUAACAAAGGAAGAAAGAU
ensembl:lincRNA